UUGAAAAUCAGUGUGGAAAUGAAACCGGGAGCGAGGGAGGGGGAGAGAGCCAAAGAGGAGGAGGAAGACAAUGACGGUGAAGAUGAGAAGGAGGAGGAGGUGAAGGAAGAAGAGUCGCUCCCCAAAGGGGGAGAAGAGGGCAGAAAGAACUGGAGAGAAACUGAAACUGGCAGAUUUAUCCUUCCAAGCAGAGGGCACUGAAAGGAACUGCAAUGGCACAAUGGGUUAAACCCUUGUGCUUGCUGGACUGCUGAUCUGAAGGUUGGGUUGAUGACCUGAAGGUUGCCGGUUUGAAUCCACGAGAUGGGGUGAGCUCCCAUCUGUCAGCUCUACCUUGAAAGAAGCCUCCCAGCAGGAUGGCAACACAUUUGGCGUCCCCUGGGCAACAUCUCUGUAGACAGCCAAUUCUCUCACACUAGAAGCGACUUGCAAUAUGAUCUCAAGUUGCUUCUGACACGAUAAAAAAUCAUUUACUACCAGUUAUUCAGUUUCCACUGUUGAAUUAACUGUCUACACUGUUGAAUUAAUGCAGUUUCACACUACUUUAACUACCAUGUCUCAAUGCAAUUGAACAGUAGAAGCUGUAGCGGUCAGUCACCAGCACAAAGUGGCAUAAAAUACAAAAGACCUGUAAAACUAUAACUUCUUUGGUUCCAAAGCAUUGCACUAGGACAGUUAAAUUGGUGUGAAACGGCAUUAAUAUAAUGUAGAUGCACCCUACAAGUCUAUACAUCCCAAUCUCUCUGAUAAUUGAAUUAUUCCUGCUAAGAAAUGCCAACUUCAUCUAAGAAGAAACCUUCUACACAAGGAUUACUUCAUACCCCCAGCACACUGCUUACUGACUCUUUUCCUUUCUUUUCUUAUCUGCUGUUUGCUUGUGUCAAGCAAAUAAAUGUUGUAACUACCCAAUGUAUUUUUGCUCUGCUCAUAAUGAGCUAAUAAAAUGUUUUAAAUAAAAAAAACAGAUGUUCUGUACCUUUUUAAAACGAUCAAAUAAAGAAAUCCAAUUUUCCCUUGCCAUUGUUACCUCUGGUUUUCUUCCUGUGACUUAUAAACACGCCCCGAAAGGCAGAACAAAAAUACUAAGGCAAACCCAGAGCAGCUUUGCAAGGGGAAAAAAUCCAUCUGCUGCAAUGUAAUUGCUACCUCUCAAAAGAGCUCUGUCUUAAAAUUCAUGAGAGCCCAUCAGCAUUUCAUAAAGUAACCACAUAAGGGAGCAGCUGGCAUAAUUUCUGUAUUCUUGUGUCUGUUACGCUCCCUGGACAAGACUACAUAAUGUUCCUAGAAUGAAUCAUACUGUAAUAUUUUAUGUCCAGCGAAGCCAAAGGUCUCCACCUUCAUUCACCAAAUUGUGUGUCUUUGCAAGAAAGGAGUCAUCCAUCACUGAGGUUUAUUGGAUUUUAAUGAACUACGUUUAGGUUUCUGCACAUGAUCCUGUUGUUCACUGUAAAGUAAUGAAGAAAUAUGCCCCCAUCCGAAGGAUCUGAGAAGACUGUUAGGACAACGGUACCAGCUAGCAAGUUUGCCUGUAUUCCAAAAUGAUAUGUCAAUUGUGAUUGUUUUAACAUGUUGGGUGCAUCUACACUGUAGAAAGAAUGUAGUUUGUCACUCCUUGAGCUGCCAUCUCUCAAUGCUAUGAAACCAAACGUCAAAGUUUAAUUUAUCUUAACUUUUGCAGAAUGACCAAAAUCAUUUGUAUUCUAUUAAAGUGCAUAAUAAAGACAUUGAAAUCAAGAUUUUGCAUACCUAGGGUCAGUCACUAAUCCAAAUGAAGAGCACUCUGCACUGUAGAAUUAAUCCUGGCAUUUGUAGUUUGGUGUGGCACCAUCACACUUUUGCAGAAAAGAUAAAGACCUUGCAAAAUUACAACUCCCAUCAUUCCAGAGCACUGAGUCAUGGCAGUUAAAGUGGUGUGAAAAUUACACUAAUUACUGUAUAUUCUCAAGUAUAAGCCUAGUUUUUCAACCCUUUAUAAAAGACUGAAAAAGCCCCCCACGGCUUAUACUUGGGUGAAGGUCCUGGUUGGCUUAUAUUUGAGUCAGCUUAUACUUGAGUAUAUAUGGUACAUUUAUUAUUUUUCUCUAUUAUUAUUGGUAUUAAUACAUUCAUUAUUUCAAUCUGAUCAUAUUAUUAUUAUUAUAUUUAUUUUACUCUAUUUAUUACUACAUGUAUUAUUUUCCUGUAUUUAUUAUUAUUAUUAUUAUUAUUAUUAUUAUUAUUACAUGUAUUAUUUUA